UGCCCCCUAACGGUUCAGACAGGAAGCGGCUCUCUGAUCCAUGAGAACAACAUCCGGUCUGUUCCACUCCGGAUGGGGGUCCAGCGCUGGUCAUUGAGUGAAGAGGAUAAAUGAUUAAAGGAAGCUUCAGAGGGAGAUGGAGACCUUCAGCAGACGAGCCCUGCACAGGAUUCACUCCGCGAUCUUGCUCGCCAUCGUCGUCUUGUCCUGGUCUUAUGUGAUCUACGCCAGCAGGAUCGCUUCUCAUUGGCUGCUGGAGAAGAGGACGGCCCCCCUUCAGCAACACUGACAGCUCAUUGGAUGAUGAGACCGUCCUGCUGGACUCGACCCCCCUGAGGGUCCAACGUCUUCCAGGUCUGAGAGACUUCACCCUUAGAGACCUGCCAGACCUUCAGAGACCUGCCAGACCUUCAGAGACCUGCCAGACCUUCAGAGACC